rnacentral:rRNA from 1 species
CCUACGGGAGGCAGCAGUGAGGAAUAUUGGUCAAUGGACGAGAGUCUGAACCAGCCAAGUAGCGUGAAGGAUGACUGCCCUAUGGGUUGUAAACUUCUUUUAUAUGGGAAUAAAAUGUUCCACGUGUGGGAUUUUGUAUGUACCAUAUGAAUAAGGAUCGGCUAACUCCGUGCCAGCAGCCGCGGUAAUACGGAGGAUCCGAGCGUUAUCCGGAUUUAUUGGGUUUAAAGGGAGCGUAGGUGGAUUGUUAAGUCAGUUGUGAAAGUUUGCGGCUCAACCGUAAAAUUGCAGUUGAAACUGGCAGUCUUGAGUACAGUAGAGGUGGGCGGAAUUCGUGGUGUAGCGGUGAAAUGCUUAGAUAUCACGAAGAACUCCGAUUGCGAAGGCAGUUCACUGGACUGCAACUGACACUGAGGCUCGAAAGUGUGGUUAUCAAACAGGAUUAGAUACCCCUGUAGUC